rnacentral:rRNA from 1 species
AAGGGGUGGUUAGUGGCGACGGGUGAGUAACACGUGGGCAAUCUGCCCUUCACUCCGGGACAAGCCCUGGAAACGGGGUCUAAUACCGGAUAACACUUCCUCGGGCAUCUGAGGUGGUUAAAAGCUCCGGCGGUGAAGGAUGAGCCCGCGGCCUAUCAGCUAGUUGGUGGGGUGAUGGCCUACCAAGGCGACGACGGGUAGCCGGCCUGAGAGGGCGACCGGCCACACUGGGACUGAGACACGGCCCAGACUCCUACGGGAGGCAGCAGUGGGGAAUAUUGCACAAUGGGCGAAAGCCUGAUGCAGCGACGCCGCGUGAGGGAUGACGGCCUUCGGGUUGUAAACCUCUUUCAGCAGGGAAGAAGCUUUCGGGUGACGGUACCUGCAGAAGAAGCACCGGCUAACUACGUGCCAGCAGCCGCGGUAAUACGUAGGGUGCGAGCGUUGUCCGGAAUUAUUGGGCGUAAAGAGCUCGUAGGCGGCUUGUCACGUCGGUUGUGAAAGCCCGGGGCUUAACCCCGGGUCUGCAGUCGAUACGGGCAGGCUAGAGUGUGGUAGGGGAGAUCGGAAUUCCUGGUGUAGCGGUGAAAUGCGCAGAUAUCAAGAGGAACACCGGUGGCGAAGGCGGAUCUCUGGGCCAUUACUGACGCUGAGGAGCGAAAGCGUGGGGAGCGAACAGGAUUAGAUACCCUGGUAGUCCACGCCGUAAACGUUGGGAACUAGGUGUUGGCGACAUUCCACGUCGUCGUGCCGCAGCUAACGCAUUAAGUUCCCCGCUUGGGGAGUACGUCGCAAAGCUUAAAACUCAAAGGGAAUUGACGGGGGACCCGCAACAAGUCAGUCGGUGAAGUC